CCAGCACACAAAGACUCAGACUCAUCCUGCAUUGUGAUGUGGAGUAAACUGUGCAGUAAUGAACAGAGGGACAUGGAGGAAAGGCAGCGUUCGCUGAAUUCUGGGGCUUUUUGUGCCAUUUUAGCAGAGUCAUUAACUUGGUCCAUUUAAAGAGUCCCAGGAGCAGCUGACGUGUAAAGUGUUAAGAUUCAGCGUCUGCUGAGUUGCCACAGCUCUGGGAAUGAAGCUUAGCAGAUUAUCUGAUCACAUGGUGCGCUGAUACACCGGCACGGGCAGUCACGUGCGGUGGGCGAGGAGAGUCCUCAGUCACAGAACAAGACUUUCACUAAUGUGAGAUUUAAAGACGGAGUGAAACAAAAAAGACACUUGUGCAAUUUUAACCCUGUAUACCUGUGUUAAAUGUUCAUUUUCUCCCAUUAGAUGCCAAAUUUAUGUCCAAAAGAGUAUUUUUACACCAAAAUAGUUGCAUACUGAUUUGAGAAAACAUGUCCUUCAACCUGGAAACUUCAGACCCAUCAUGCUCCAGGGGAGGGAGGUCUGUGUGAAACCAACAGUCCACAGCAGCUCCAUAUCACCCUCUUAAAGCCAUUUCUUGCAAGCACUUAUAAAUUCCCAUUUUUUGAGUCACCUGAAUGCCUCACCUGACGUGGCAUCUCAUUACCCUCUCAUUAAAGGCAGGUGUGUAAAACUAGUUGAGCAGGGAAAACAGCAGCAGUCUUCGACGGCCGUGUGUUUGGUUGAAUCUUACUUUCAUUGUUUGAUAAAUCUGUUUAUCGCGCCAUUGAAUGAAACUUUGUUUCUUAAUUUUGUAAGAGUUUGUUUUAUUUCGUUUGAAAGCAAUAGUCAGACAAUUAAGUUUCAUGUCACCCAGCAACUCUCCACACAUCCUGCAACGACACACAAGGCACCAUCGGACAAACACUCAUAGAACGGGCCGAGGACGCGAAGGAGCUCCUCCACCUCGUCUGACAUGGGCAUGCCCUCCAGGAUCUACACAGCAGACACAGCAACAGUCCCCAAAAUACCUCCCUGAGGAGAUCACCUGACCCACCAGAGGAGAGGAGGAUAAAUCAAGCGCACCUGCCCGACAGGCUCCACCCUCCUCAGGUGCAAUCCCUCUGUCUAAUGAGAGGCUAUAUGUGUCGCCUGUCUC